GUGAUUGACUAAAAAUAGAAGUUCUCACGGACAAAUGAGCUACAAUGGAGGAAGGAAUGAAGGCAUCACCUAUGCUUUAACAGUCUGUAUGAACAUGAGCAGCAUAUUUUCGGUUACAAUGUACUCUGCGGGAAGCCAUCUUCGAUUAGGUGUCCGGCGUCCCCGAACUUCUCCAGGAUCCAGCGGCCAUCGGAACCAGAGACAUGGACAACGCUGAUUGAGGUGUUAGGAAUCCUGCCAACCGAGAUCGUUGGAUCGGCGUGCCUGCAGAUUUCCUCUAUGACUGCCUCAUGGGAGACGACGACCACCCGCUCACCUAUUAACGCAACACGCGACAGCUUCAGUUUGCAGCUUGAAAUUCACCACCAGGUGCAAGUUUUGACCACACAGAGAGCACAAGAAAUUACUAUGUGGAUCGGUGCUUACCUUUGUGCUUCUCCGCGAUUGCGUUCAAGCAGGGAACUAAGCGCUCGGAAAGUUGAUCAAGACUCUCCCCACCACCCUGUUCAGAAGGAGAUCAUGAGUAAUAUAUAGCAACCAACAUGGGGAAAGCACGCCUAGGCCUAGCUUUUACUUCAACUAAGACUAAGUACAACUUUGAGAGGAGAAUGGAAAUUAGUUACAGGUAUUUCUUGAUCUCUGCCACCGCGUGCGAAAACCUUGUAAGCUUCAGAUCUCUUGGCAUCGUCAAAGGUCCAACCUUGGAACAAUCCCCCGUGCCUUUCCGUCAGUGCCCGAUCAAUCACCAGCUGAAACAAACAGAAGCCGGAUGAUAUAUAGAACACCAAUAAUUCGUGAAGCGAGAAAAAUUAGAACAAACUAAUACUAGUAUUCAAAGAGUGUUCAUACAUCAGAAUCAGAUACGCAGCAAUGCGCUGCGAUCGUUUGCGCAGUCUCGGAAGCACGCUUCAAGUCAGAGGAGUAGACGGCAGCUGGCUUGGCUUCUUCCGACAGACGACGGGCAACCUUGAGGGUUUGAACAAAAUCAGAAUCACGUACAUAAUCUCAAGUCAUGACGAUCUCACAAAGUAUGGCGUACCUUGGCAGCUUGCUGCCUACCAGUUUCGUUCAGCUCCUGAUCGAUCCGUCCCUGUUGAAACUUAAAAUAAGCCUUAACACAUGUUGUAUUGCAUCGCAGAGGGAGAAUCAUAUCUAAGUGAUGCGAUAAGUAGCAAGCUGUGACAGGACAGGAUGAACAAGAAGCGACCUGAAUGAUGCGGGAGACGUUCCAAUCCGUCUGUCCAUGGCGCACCAACACCACCUCCGCGAAGUGCUCGCCGUGCGUCGACGCAGGUGCCAUGAUCGAUCGGCCGGCGUUACUGCUGCAGAGGGAAGGGGAGAUGGUCGCUCUUGCUGUAGCUGCCUUGCAGCGGUUCUUUGAAAUCUGGAACCUCUCUGAUCUCUUGUGCUGUAUGAUCUAGCUGCCCUGCAGAGGGAAGGGGCGACUUUAUAAAAGGCCAGGCACAAGAGAGGAAACGCCAGGCACAAGAGAGGAACGCCGCGGCGAACGCUAUCCAUCUCCAUGUACGCGACGCGAAGUAGGCCAUUUCCGAAGGGGCGAAGUAACGCACGCACGCCACCCUCUUCUUGCUUCGACUCCAAUGCAUCUCCAUGCCAACACGGCGGCGGGGUUGACUAACAAAUUAGAAACACGGUUUGAGCCACAACAGCCAUUCCAACAGCAGGUUGGUUUCCAUUCUAGCCAAGCCAUCCAUCGGACGUGUCUUUCCAACAGCAGCUUCCGGAAGGCUCUGGAAGGCUCUGGAAUCACAAGCAUAAAGCCUGCGCCUGGUCGGCGGACAAGCAUAAAACCUGAGUUGUCUUGUUCAUGAUAAGUACAAACCCCCGUGCACUUCUUCUCCACCGAGACCCCCGCGCCGGCCCUGCUUUCCCGUCCGUCCGAUCGAGCGGGUCCGGCCGUCCACAAGCAAGUUGGUAAGCGCAUGGAAUUUUGCAAAAAACGCCCUUCAGUUCUCCGCUAAUCUACUUCGGAUCUAGGGAGGCCCUUUGCCAACCGUAACCACGUUCGAUUUAUUUGCGGCACACCCCAUUGGUUCAAAAAUAUUUCAACACCAAGAAGAGAAAAUUCCAAUUCCACGUCGCUUUUUAAAAAAUCACCUGCUGGUCAUUUUGCGAAGAACCCCCAACCGCAACCGUGCCGCUAACACACGCUUGGUCUCGAGCCGCCGCCCCCUCCUAAUUCUCUCCGCAUCCCUCUCUUUCUCACCCUCCCGCCCUCCCCGACGGCCGCCGCACACUUUAGUAGGCAUGGUUAGUGUCUUUCGAUGUUCUUAAUGUCUGCUACUGGUUCAGAUUUAUUUCUUUCCCCUUCUAUAUUUAACUAGGUUUGGUAGUAGCUUGUAGCCUUGCCUUAUUCAACCUUAGCAUCAGUAAAUGUAGGUAAUGGAGUUAUAAAAAACUGAUAAACCAACCACUUCAAUAAAUUGGUGUCUUCCCAAUUCCAACUCUUGGUGCUUACACCAAAAGCAAGCAUCGGACUGAAAAUUUCUAAAAAAAUUAGCUUCAAGAUCACUAGCUACUGUAUUUCGAUCAUUUGAUUUCUUUUCCUUUUUUUUGCAAAAGACCAUUUGAUUUCUUGAUGGUGAUGAGUUAACUGUGUUGUGAGGUGAGACAAUCGAUUGCCUCACAUAAUUCCUGAUAUUUAGACCUUUAGUAAAACGGCUUUCUGAGAAUACUGUGGAUUGCUUCAAUUUUUACAGCUAAUACUUGCAAACUCUGCAUGUGUCAUUCAGACAGCUUGAUUGCAUAUGACCUCCCUCAGUAAUACAUUAAUUUUAUGACAUACUUUUCAGGUUAGGUUGGAGAAAAAGAUGGCAAACUGAAGACUACGCCAAUAAAAACAAAUUUUCAGCUUAUGCUUCAAUAAUUUUCUAAAUCCUAUUGUCAUUAAUUAGUUUGAAGAAACGAUGGGAUCUGUAACCUCGUAAAGCUACACAUUUAUAUGGAGAGACUCAAAAGACUUUCUGGUUUGCGCAUGUCAGCAGUGAUUAAAACAUUGCAUAGUUCUUUCUAUUUAUUAUCAUGUAGUUUCAACUUUUGUACCAGUUGAUUUGUCUAUGAAAUUAUGUGCACCGGAUUAAGGAAAGGUUAUGCCAAAAAUUGACGUAGAAAAUGAGGCUGUGAUUGUACGAGUUCGAAAUGGUGCUAGCUCAAUGACAACAAGACGUGAGCAAUAUAAUCUAAUUAUCCAAUUUCCAUCGGUGGACAUGUGAUUUCCACCAUCGAAACUCUAAAAUUACAUUAAAAAUUGGGCCGAAGAAAUUAUUACCCAGCCGUGGGAAGCCUGCGUGAACCGGUGAAACCUAAUUAUUACAUAUGUUGAUGUUGAAUGUGUUGCUAAAUCUUAUUAUUUGUUCUAUAAACAUGGGUCCAUGAUAUUGUGUAUUCUAUUUUGACCAUGACACACAUACAUAUCAAGAUGCAAGGUGCUGUGAUGAAUUAUGUCCUUGACCUCGAGAAGAAUUGUUAUCUUCGUGCAGAUCUCGCAAAAUCCAACUCCAGAAUCAUGUCCUUGACCUCGAGAAGAAUUGUUCUCUUCAUGCCUUAAGCUCCAGGACAUCUUUCUUGCUCCACUAUGUGGUUCUUCGUUAAUGCUGUCACACUUUUGAUCUCAUCAGAUGAUGCUUCACCUUAUUCUUGCGAGAAAAGAACUAGGAAACCAAUGUGAUUUUCUGAUUCAGGUAUCAUUCAAGUAGCUUUUGAGACUGUAUGUCAUGAAAGAAAACCAUUUGUAUUUUACACCUUGUUGAUCUAUGCAUGAUGAUAUCAGCACUUUGAGCUUACAGUAGCUCCACUACUACUGCUGAUAGAGUUUGUUAUAUCAGUCUACCCAGCUACCAACAUACCGACACAAAACUGGACAUUCAUAAAUUUAUUUUGAAAAUUUCAAAGCCAUCCUUUGGGACUUGGCUGUGGAAAUAUUGCUAUAACGCUAGAGCAUCACUGGAGUAAAUUGCCAAUAGUUCUUAAAAGUCAACAGCAGGUUUUUUCCCUUUUUAACUAUGUGGGGGUGUUUGGUUCCCAUGUACUAAACUUUAGUCCACUAUUUUGGUGCACUUUUAAUCCCUAAACACCCAAACAGGUAGACUAAAGUUUGGACUAAAGACUUUAGUCCUCUAGUCCACAAAACUGGACUAAACUAGACUAAAGGAUGGUGGGGACACACCUGCCCCUCAUUUAUUGCCCUCUCUCCCACUCGGCUCCCUCCUGCUGCCUCCCGCUCGGUCCCCGCCACCGUUGCCGCCUGCCGUCCUCCCUCCCGCCCGCUCUCUACCACGCGCGCCGAAUGCGGCGGCGGAUCCUGGCCGCACGGAGGCAGUCCCCCUGCCUAGUCUGCUGCGGUGGCGGUGCCAGUGCGUGGUGGGUAGACGAGCGACGCCCCCGGCCUCCACCCGCACCCGCUCCCCCUCAGCUCCGGGCGCAGCCAACGGCUGCCGCUGAGGGUGCCCCACGCGGGGUGCCUCCGUGCGAUGGCGGGAGCCUGCGGCGGACCUCCAUAGCCAUAGGGCGGCGGUGCUGGGGGGCUCGUCGGUGCUCAACCCCGCCCAUGGCAGUGGCUGCCCGUGGUUUGGGUUGUGUUUUGGGGAUUUUGAUUUGGCGCAAGGGAUUGAUCUGCGCCGGGCACUCAUCCCCCACCACCGCCUCGCGCGACGGAGGAUCCGCCGCCGCAUCCGGUGCGCGCAGCGGGGAGUGGCGCAGCGACGGGGAGGCCUGCGCCUUGAGUGCCAUGUGGGCACAGGAGCGGAGGGGAGGCUGGGAGGGAGCGCCAGAACCAGAAGUUGGCAUAGGGUUACUGGCAGCAGGGGUAUAAAUGUCUUUGUUCAACAGCAUUUAUGGACUUUAGUCCAUUUUAGUCCAUGGAACCAAACAGGGGUGGGACUAAAGUUUAGUCCAUGGACUAAAGGAACCAAAUAGGGCCUAACUAGAAAUAUACAUUGGAUGUUCUCACAACGGCUGUUCUGCCCGAGCCCUACAGAAGAAGGCACCAUAGAGUCCAAGAGACCAGCCCCCACGUCGCCCCCCACCGGGCCACUCGGGCGGCGACCACCCUCUAGCCGCCGUCAGCCACCUCCACCAACCUCUCCCUCGCUGUCGCAGGAGGAAACCACUAGUAGCCUGUGCGGCUCCCUAGGAUGGUGAUGGCGGGGUCUCUCUCGUCGCGGCGUGCUUCGGGUGGAACGCGGCAGCGGCCUCCCUUUUCCCGGCAGCAGCACGCUCGUCCCUGACCCGCGAUGCGUGCUUCCGUGGCCUCGACGACCGGAUCCGGUGACGUCGAGGGUGGGUCCGGCGAGCGCGUAGCGGGCCUAGCCGGGGAGCUCGUGCACCACAGUGGCGGCCCUCAGUGGUGGCGGGGGCCCUUUCCGGCGGCCGGCGUGUGGAUCCGCGACAUUGGAGGCCGAUGCCUGUGAGGCCAGGGCGGAUCAGGCGAACCCGUGGCUAGGGCAUGGCUCGGCCACCGUGGGCCAUGCUGACUCCCGGCGGCGGCGUGCGGCCACAGUACAGGGGCGGAGACGGAGGAAGGGGGCCACACAGGGAGCGGCUUUGGGGCACAGGCUGCAGUCGACGUGGGAGGUUAGGUCAGGCAUUCGCAGGGCUAGGGAACCCGUGCUGUAGUGGCCUGGAUGCAAUUGCGGCUGGCGCACAUGGAGGCCGUGAGGUGCAGCAGCGCCGGCAAGGACGUGCGGCUAGAGGUCGUGCAAGUGAGGAGGUGCGGCGGUGGCGUGGAGGCCACUCGUGUGGUGCCGUUGCGGUGGUGCGAGGAUCUACGCCGAUGGUGGUGGUGAGCCAUUAUCGCGGGAAACUUUUUGUGUGUGCACAUGGUACAACUGAGAUUUUGGCGGUGGCAAGGUGUAGGUGAAGUUAUUGGAGUAGCUCGGUGGAACCAUGUCACCUCCGAUGGCAAAGCAAGUCCAGAUCCUUGGUGUGGAGUCCAGCGGCGGAAGUGGCGAGACCCGUUCGCUUUAAUUUGGUGUGUCCGAGGAGUGGUGUGCGGCGGUGGAUGUGGUGAUGCCCCCACGCGUUUCGAGUUGCCUUGGAGGGUCAGGAUCCGGUGCGGCGUUUUGAUUGUUUGGUGUGUACGGUGCGGCAAUGGUGCUUCGGCGUUGGGUCCUACAGAGCAAUGACUUUUUCGGUGUGGUGCAGUGUGCUCCUCCUUUAACUUCUACUGAUACAAAGUCGUGGAUUGGGAGAUCGAUGACUGUGUGUGUAUGACCUGAGGACGACAGAGGCACGGUGGAGAAACCUUGGUAGCUAUACAGCUUGCAGCAGACUGCGGCGGCCAGUCCUGCAUGGCAGCGGCUGGUUCAGCGUGGGACAUCGUUGGGGAUAACAGUGCUGGCGAUAAGGGCUACUUGUCGGUUUUUCCUGCUGGGUGGUGGUGGUGUGGCGUGGUGGUCGCUGCUCAAGCUUUAGCGUUGCGUGGCUUGCAUCGAUGUCUCAAUCUAACUGGUCGUAGAGUUCUUUUUUGUUUUGAGUUGGGUUGAGUCGGCAUUUCUAUUGGGAGCUACUUUGGUGACUCUGUUGGUGUACCUAGUCUGGAAUCUUUUUUAUUUUUAAUAUAAUCCGUAGCUCUCCUAACUCGUUCGUUUCGAAAAAAAUACAAUGGAUGGUAUGCUGCACACUAAACUAGCCACUAGGCUGAUGGCUAAUGCUCAUGUUUCUGUUCUGUUAUAGCCACUAGACUGAUGACCUAUGAUCAUGUUUAUACAUAUGAGAAUUAUGACGGCAGUAAACAAUAAACUUUCGUGGCAAAAGAAAAGAAUAAAAUGAAGGGUCGUAGACAUGCCUGUUUCCAAUUUCUCUCUUGACAGGCUAACAUUGAUGAGAGGACUACUUAGACUCCCUGGUACAGUUCUCCUAGGAGAGGCCUCUGAAUCUGCUGAAAUGUCUAACUGAAGGACUCUACAAAAUAAAAGAGAAUGACUGCAAAUUUAUUUGCUGAAAGCUUGCAUCAAUCAUCAAUUACAAUGCAUUGUGUUAACAGUAGGCCAUGUUAGCUAUUAUGUAUCAAAAAGACCAAAUUAAAUUUGAACAUGAGGAUCAAGAAAGAGAUGAAACGACCUACUAUGAGCCAAGAAAUUAUCUGUAUGUUUAAACUCUAAAUUAUCAAACAAUUCUAAAUUAAGCUGGGUUACAUAAAAGGAAAAGGUGUGUACUCCAUAUGAGCAUGGGCUUCCUACAUUUAAGGUACCGAAUUACUGAUAAAGAAAACAUUGCAGAGAAGAGUGACAUAUACACAAUGAAACUGGAUCGCACAGAUGGUAGCAUGGCGCAGGGUAAGAAGCAGGCACGGAGUGACGUUUUUUAAAUUGAUUUAAUUUAGAAUAAAUACAACAAUAUUCUCACGUGGUAUCUCUGCUGCUGCACAAAUAAUAGUAACACAUAAAAGGGGAAGGUUUGAGAUAACGAGGAAUGGCUACCGAUGGAUGGGACUAAAUUAAAGUUAUCUAUUCUAUUGCCUCCAACUCCAAAGCAACAGGGUAGAAUCAAACACUUUACACUUCAGGGUUACAUUCACAACUGCCUAUGAGCAGGCAUUUACAAGCAGCAGUGCAAUGCUUCAAAUUUCAGUGUGGUAUUGUUUACCCACAGGAAUUUCUAUACAAGUUCAUUAUCAUUGCACUGACAAGUGAGAGCAUUGUAGUAAUGGAAGAAUGGAGGCAUGUUCAACCGUAUCGAGGACUCGAGGUAGCCGAUUGUAUUGCUGAAGGACCGGAAAGGCGACCGGAGGGGGUGAAUGGGAGCUGAUUCAAAUUUUCUCAAAGAACCUCGGCUAAAGUCCCAACAUAAUCCACAAAAUUCUCUUCUAGCAAUAUCAAGUCCCCUUAGCUAUGCAGGAGCUAAUGGAUGGACCUAGGAAUAUUGCUAGGAACCGAAUUUGAGACUAGCAGAAGCAAGAAAAAGCCCAAACAAGUAUCGGGAGAAGAAAUUCGAAAACCAACUAAAAUUUGGAAAAUUCCGAAAAAUCCUUCGGAAACUUCCGAACUUUCGGAAAUUUCCGGAAAACCUUCGGAAAAUUGCAGAACUCCGGAAAACAGCCUUUGUGAGGAAGUGGGAAAAAUCCAAAACUCGAUCAAACGACCUCCAAAAUCACGAAAUUUGAACCAUAGACUCACAACAACAUACCAAAGGUAUUUCCCAAAGGCUCAAGUCAAAAAGCCCAAGAAUUGGUAAAUAGAUUCAAAGGAUUUGGGAAGGGCACAAGAAAGGGGAUUUUCAGGGAAUCUCAAAAUUCAAGCCAAAUUUGUGAGGGAUUUGAGGGAGAUCACAUUAUAGAUGCUCACACGGGUCACAGCAACAAUUUCUCCUAACAAAUCUCACGGGAUUUGGGCUCAAACUCGAAGAACGCAAAAUCCCAAAAAAUACCUCUGAAAAUACUGAGAAAGAUAAAUUUUAGAUUCAAAGAGGAUGGAACAAUAUGGCACAAAAUUGAUCUUUGGAUUACUCCACCAUGUUCGGUUACAAGCCACUCCUAAGCACAAUCCAAACUAGGAUGACAAAAAGAUCAACUCACACCUCUCUCCCUCUGCCAAAGGCUCUCACAAAGCAAAUGAGAAAAUCCCCACCAAAACAACCAAAGGGAUGGCUACCCCAACCAGCCAUCUCUCCUAUAUAUAGGCAUCUGGAAAAUAUCCAGAAUGCCCUUACAUGAAGCACACAACUCAAAUACCCUCCAGGGCUAAAAUUGUCCAACGUUUUCCUCGUACAUCGGAUGGACCCGGCGCCUUCACGACUUCGCUUCGCCUCAACGCAAGCUUCGUGUGGUGUCACGCAUCCUCUGACUCGACGCCGUCCAGCCGCACCGGAAUCGUCCCCCGAUUUUGAGGCCAAACUGGUCAAACCCUCUUGCACACCCCGCAGGCGUGACUCAUCCCUGAUUUUGAGGCCAAUCCGAUCAAACCCUCUCGCAUGCCCUGCAAGGCAUGAUUCACCCCCUUGUUUUGAGGUCAAACCAGUCAAACCCUCUUGCACACCGCGUACGACGUGACUCACCGAUGUUGACGCGUGUCUGAUCUCCGCCAAGCCUUCGACGCCUCCAAGUCUUUCGCUCCUGGCUCCCGGGCCACCUACUCGACUCGCCUCCGUCCCGCUUGACUCGACCGACGCCGUCUCCAUCUCAUCCGUGUACUCUUGCUCUUUCGUGCACCAUGUGGAUCGUCCAUGACUCCGCUCGGACUCCUCGGGUCCCUCGGUCCAAACAUUCAUGCCCACCCUUCACAACGCUAGUACAUUGGUAUGAACCUUUCGCUUGACCUUCACCUCAUGCCAUCGACCGCCAUGUCGCAUCCUACACCUGCACAUCACAAGCCAAGAUACACAACACACAAGAUAUGUUUUAUACAAACACCGCAACACAACUCACACAUCUGGUUAGCCGUUAGCAUAAUCAAGUGCAUAUGGAAUAUGGACUCAACCGGUAAAGCCUCAAAUCAUCUAGUUAAUCACUCAUCACAAAUAGACCAAGACACAUGUCAACUUGGUCUCUCAAUCUCCUCCUUGAUAAGUGCAUUGACAAAAGAUGAUUUGAAAGCAAAAGAGAACUCAUUCAAGUGCCCAAAAGCCAAAUAAAAGGAAACACAAGGCAACUUGAUAUGAAAAAGGAUCAUGCAAGCUCCGAACAAAAAACUCUAGGUUCCCAAAGAAGAGACAAAAAACUUAACACAACCGAAGAGUCAAGCAAAAAACACAAGAGCUUCAUGAAUCCCAAAAUGCCAUCAAAGCCAUUUCAAUAUUUGUCAAACGCUCAUCACAAUUAAAUCAAGGUUCAUAUCAACUUGAUUUUCUCAAUCUCCCCCUUGAUGAGUGUGUUGAAACCAUUCAAGCACAAAGAAAUGGUUUGAGAGGCAAAAGUCAAAAAUCUCAUCCAAGUGAUCGAAAGCUAAGUAAAAACUAAGAUCAAAGUCACUUGAGAUGAGAACAACCAUAAAAGCCAAGUUGUGAAACCAAUUAGGCAAAGCUCCCAUUCAAGUGAUCGAAAGCCAUGUAAACGCUAUGAUUAAAGUCACUCGACAUGAGAAGCAUCACAAAGACCAAAUCAACUUGGAAAAGUCUCAGUUCCCAAAGACAUGGGCAACGGCUCGACACAACCGAGACAAAGAACACAUGAUCUCUCAAGAAGAGGCAGAAAGGGCUCAACACCAAUCAUGUGAAGAUCGAAAACACAGGAUCCCUCAAGAAGAGGCAGAAAUAGCUCAAAACCAAUCAUGUGACGAUCGAAAACUCAAACCAAAUGCCAGCUCCUCAAGAAGAGGUAAAAAGCUCAACACGACCGACAAAAGAGCAAAAGAGAGCACAAAACUAGCACAAAGCUUAGAAGCUACCCCUGAACACAUGCACUCCCCCUGAAAACAUGCCACAAUGAAAUGCAUGCACAAAAGCAAAAGAAUGCAUGCUCCCCCUCAAAUGCAAAACUCCCCAUUAAAUGCAAGACUCCCCCUUAAAUGUAAACAUCAAGAUCGUAUGAGAGCACAAAAUGCAUGCCAUGGAAUGUAAAACUUACCAAGCUUCUCAAAUAUAACACAAAGCACUUACAAAGGCUAGAAGUGAGAUAAUGCACAAACAAAUAGAUCAUAAAGAGCAAUUCAUCGCCAUCAAGAUGGNNNNNNNNNNNNNNNNNNNNNNNNNNNNNNNNNNNNNNNNNNNNNNNNNNNNNNNNNNNNNNNNNNNNNNNNNNNNNNNNNNNNNNNNNNNNNNNNNNNNUGACAAGUUUUGCAGUUUAUAAAAAGUAUCACCACCAUGAGCAAGUAUCUAGUCAUGUCAUUCAAGCAAGAAGCAAACUAGGCCAUCAGAGCUCAUACAAGGAAGAUACAUUCUCAACAAGAGAUCAUUGCAAACACCCACAUAUGCAUCACAAGUCAUGUCAAGGCUUGUUGAAACCAUGUGCCUACUUCUUUUUGGUAGACAUCAUGUAACAACUAAGCAAGCAAGGAUAUCAACAUUAAGCACAAAAACUUGGUGAAUUACUGAAUUUUUCUUAUCAUAAUUUUUCAUCAUUCACAUUAAACAAGUUACAUGAAGUGCCUUUGCGGCACAAAGAAUCCAUGCUUCCCCAAGGAAUGCAUUAUGGGCUAAAUAUUUGCAAUGAUACCUAAAUCUUUGAUCCAAUUGAAAAGAACAUAGAUUCCAAGUAGAAGCUAAACAUGGAGCUAGCAUUCAAGCAAGAGCAAUGCAUAAAUAGGUAGCUAGUCAGGGGUGAUAAGCAUUUCAGAAUUCAUUAUUCAAGAUUAACAUUUGAUUCAGAAAAGCAUUUAGCUCAACAUGGUUAUAUGACAAUAUCAUCAAGAGAAUAUGCUGCACAUUGCUACACAAUCACCAACCAAUGCACUAGCUCACAAAUAGCAUAAGGAAAUGCUAAGGAUAUAUAGGAGAAGCUCAUCUAGUUCAAAGUGUACAAGGUGCAAUAUGAUAUAAAUGCAAUGCAAUGCUAAAAGAGAUGGGGCUCAGCUCAAAAUCAAGAAAGUUCAUGAGGGUCAAACCAAUCUAGGAAAAGCUCCGUUGCCAAAGAAAAACUGCCAAGGAUCCCAAUUGAGUACCAUAGAAAGGAUACCAAUUGAAGGAUCAAAAAUUGAUAUCACUUGAAGAAGAUGGAAUCCAAUUGAAAGAUCAAAUGUGAUAACAAUUAAAAGAUCAAAAGCGGAUAUCAAAAAUCAAAGCAAGUCCUUGGUCCAAACUCCCCCUCGAAUGAAGCUGAACUCCCCCUCAACCAAAGACACCUAGCAAAGAAAAGCUAGAAAAAGAAGGGGUAAAAGAAAAGUUCUAACUCCAAUAAAAAAAGAAGAGAAAAUGCAACCUAAAGAUAAGGGAAGCCCAAAAACAAAAUAAAGCUCAAUUCAUGUCACACAAAGCAAUGAUGAUACCAAUGAGAGGAAUUAGAGCAUUGCAACAUGAUUCUACAUUUAUGAAUAAAAGAUUGGGCAAGCAAACAUGUCAACAAGGUGCGAAGGAUUAUACAAAGAUACUAAGCUAAAAUGAUACCAAAUGAACAAUAUACCAUACCCAAUACAAAGACUAAGCAAAAGCAUGGUACGAUGUUCAUGUGAAUCAUCCACCAAGAUAUAUUAAAAAGCUAGCAUGACAAGAUACACAUGAAGAUCACACAUGCUAACAUGAAUAGGUGGCUAGCCUACCAUGGUAUAUUCACAGCAUGAUACAAGUAUAAAACUUGCAAAAGAGUCCACAAGUGAAUAGUAUACACGAAAGGAAAAACUCACUAUACAAGUGUACAUCCAAACAGUGUGGAGAGCCAUCAAGUCUUGAUCACCUCAAGCAAAAGAUCAAGUCCCUUCGAGCUCAUGUCCUCCACCUGCAUCCCCAUACCUACACAUGAGGGGACAAAGAAGACCGAGUCUUGCAUCCCAAAGGGUUAGUAAGCAUAUACUUGGGAAUCCAAAACUUAGUCACACGGGUAAAAGAUGCACUCAACUUAUCAUGUGGGUUAGCAUGAUGCAAAUGCCGGUUCAAAUGAGAUGAUUUUGAAAUACCCUUGGAACCAUGCCUCAAAGAAGCAACUUGAGAAGAAGAACGAGUGCUACCACUAGCAAAAAGACAAUGAUCCCCCGGGGUCUUAAGAGAAGAACCAACACAAGCACCAUGAGAACCAUGGCGUGGACCAACAUAAGAAUAACUAGAAGCAUGUCCACGAGCAUGACCUAACUCACUAGAAAAGUAGUCAUAAAACCCAUCAAUGAAAUGUGGCUUCUUACUAGGCUCACAAGUGCUCAUGCCAUGAGAUGGGCUAUGAACAACCAAAGGCCUAGAAACACGAGUUCGUCACAUUUGUCUUGCAUGACGAUAACAAAAGCUAUCUUGAUGCCCAUCUUUCUCAUAAUAGGAGCAAUGGUACAAAGGCCUUUUUGUAGGCACGGUCCGAGAGGAUGAAUCAUCAUUCUCAUUCAAGUGAGAAAUCCCUUGGGACUUAGAGCAAAAAGCAUCAACAACACCAUUUGACUUGGUGCCCAACAUUAGGUUCACACGUGCCAUGGGAAAGGCUACAUGGCUUUCUAAAAGCUUUGGCACGCACACAUCGCUCAUGCUUGAUAUGGCGAAAACAAAACUCAAUGGUAUGCCCAUCUUACAAAAGGUGCAAUGAAACUUUGGUUUGGGAGUAUGAGUUACAAAAGUGUGAGAAGCACCCUUGCCACUUGAAUUAUCUUGAGCAAUACUGGAAGAAGCAACAAGCUUAAGAGUAGCUAUAGAAGAGCUAUCCAAAGCACUAGCACAAGUACUAGCAUCCAAAGACUCACGCUCAAUAGAAGAAAGCAACUCCAGUUGGGAAGAAGCAAUUUUGGAAACACCAACAUCGGAGUGAUAAGAAUUGCAAGAAUCAAAAGACUUAGCACUAAGAAUCUUGCAUCUUGUGGCUAAAACCUCAUUUUCAUGUUUGAGACGAUCACAAGUACCACAUGGAGCAUUUCUCAAAUUAUCCAUCUCCUUUUCAAUACACUUAGCAUAUGUAGUACGCAAGAGUUUAUUUUCUUUCUCAAGGUUGGCACUCAUCUCAUUGCGCUCAACCAACUUGGCACUCAUAUCAUCGCGCAUUUGCUUCAAAGUUAAAACUUCAUUUUCCAAUUCAAUGCAUGAUGUGCAAAUAAGACCGCAUGAACAAUCAUCAUCAUUCACAUCACGCACGAUAUCAUGAUUAUCACAAGAAGUAAGGCAAGCAUCAUCAUCAAGAACCAAAGAGCACAUGCUACAAGGCAUAGACUUUAUUUCACAAAUUUCAACCCUAGCAUGCUCAAUUUGUUCAACACAUGUGGUAUGAGUCAAUUUUAAGUCAUUAAUUUCAGCAAACAAAGACUCAUAUGAAACACAUGGCAAAGAAGCAUUAGACUUCAAAAGAGCAAUUUCAUCCUAGUCUUAUCAAGAUCAUUAUUCAAAGCAACACAUGAAUUACAUGGCAUAGAGGUAUUGGAUUUCAACAUUGCAUUUUUAGAUUUUAAAGCAUCAUAAUCAAUUGAGAGCUCAUCAAGUAGUCUUCUACAAGAUUCAAGUUGCUUGUCACCAAGAUAAACAUCUCUUUUUAGUUUCUCAUUUUCAAUGUGCAAAACAUCACAAGAUUUGCAUGGUAGAGGUAAGCUAGACUUGCAUGAAAUUAAAGCAUUCACAUUAUCAAGUCUAGACAUGUCCAAAUUUUUCUUAAGCUUAGCAAUCGUCUCGCCAUGAGCACAAAGGCAAGUGAACAAACCAAUUAUACCUUGGGAGAGUUUACCUCUACUCAUCUUGUGAAGCUUGCGUUGGAGAUCAUCUUCUUGAGGCAUCUCAUCCAUCAAAAGACGCAUCAAUGCCAUCACUUCAUCAUCCUUGUUUAGAUCAUCCCGCUUCUUUCUGCUUUGAUGUGACCACACCACCUAGGGACAAAGAACCAAUAGAACAAGAGCUUGGUGCCAAAACUCAAAGCACCGGUUAGGAUUAGCCAAAAACAAGCUCAAAUCGUGAAAACCAAAUCCGCAAGCAAAAGCGCUCUUUACCUUGUCGCCCCGUGGAUCACAAAGCUGAUUAAAGUUGUGUGAUUCUUAACCAAGCUCUAAUACCAAUUGAAGGACCGAAAAGAUGACCAGAGGGGAGGUGAAUGGGAGCUGAUUCAAAUUUUCUCAAAGAAUCUCGACUAAAGUCCCAACCUAAUCCACAAAACUCUCUUCUAGCAAUAUCAAGUCCCCUUAGCUAUGCAGGAGCUAAUGGACCUAGGAAUAUUGCUAGGAACCCAAUUUGAGACUAGUGGAAGCAAGAAAGAGCCCAAACAAGUAUCGGAAGAAGAAAUUUGAAAACCAACACUAAAGUUUGGAAAAUUCCGGAAAAUCCUUCGGAAACUUCCGGACUUUCGAAAAUUUCCGGAAAACCUUUGGAAAAUUGCAAAACUCUUGAAAACAGCCUUCGUGAGGAAGUUGGAAAAAUCUGAAACUCGAUCAAACGACCUCCAAAAAUUAGAAAAUUUAAACCAUAGACUCACAACAACAUACCAAAGGUAUUUUCCAAAGGAUCAAGUUGAAAAGCCCAAGAAUUGGUCACUAGAUUCAAAGGAUUUGGGAAGGGCAUAAGAAAGGGGAUUUUCGGGGAAUCUCAAAAUUCAAGCCAAAUUUGUGAGGGAUUUGAGGGAGAUCACAUUAUAGAUGCUCACACGGGUCAUAGCAACAAUUUCUCCUAACAAAUCUCACGGGAUUUGGGCUCAAACGCGAAGAACGCAAAAUCCCCAAAAAUACCUCCAAAAAUACCGAGAAAGAUAAAUUUUAGAUUCAAAGAGGAUGGAACAAUAUGGCAUAAAAUUGAUCUUUGGAUUACUCCACCAUGUUCGGUUACUAGCCACUCCUAAGCACAAUCCAAACUAGGAUGACAAAAAGAUCAACUCACACCUCUCUCCCUCUGCCAAAGGCUCUCACAAAGCAAAUGAGAAAACCCCCACCAAAACAAGCAAAGGGAUGGCUACCCCAACCAGCCAUCUCUCAUAUAUAUAGGCAUCCGGAAAAUAUCCAGAAUGCCCUUACAUGAAGCACAUAACUCAAAUACCCUCCAAAGGUAAAAUCAUCCAACGUUUUCCUCCUAUAUCAGAUCAUUGCUUACCCUUGUGCUUGUCAGCUAUCAUGUUCAAGUAGGAAACACAGCGCUUGGAAAGUUGAUCAAGACUCUCCCCACCAACCUACCAAAAAAAUGAACGGAUUAGAUAACUAGUAUACAACAACCACAAGGAAAAAUGACUGUCACUGAUUCAGAAGGAUUCAAGGUAGCUUUGGGAGGAGAAUGGAAGGUAGUUACAGGAAUUUCUUGGUUUCUGUCAUCUGAUGAGAAAGCCUUGUAAGCUUCAGGCUUGGUACUGACGGCAUCAUCAAACUUCAAACCGUGGAGAUCUCCCAUGUGCCUUUCUCUCAGUGACUGAUCAAACACCAGCUGAAACAAACAGUAGUUAAUUUAUUUAAAACAGCAAUUCGAAAAAUUAGCAUACAUUAUGGAGACAUGACAAGCAGUAAUUCAAGUUGUCCCAGAGGAUUCGUACAUUGGGUACAUGGCAAGCUAUUGCGAUAGUUUGUGCAGUCUCGGCAGCGCGCUUCAAAUCAGAGGAGUACACAGCAGCUGGCUUGGCUUCUUUGGACAACCGACGGGCAAGCUUCAGGUUUUUUUUAAUAAUUGAUAAAAUCAGAACCACGUAAAAGCAUGAUUCCGAGACAUAACCGCACAAAGUAUAACUACCAUGAUAGCUUGCUGCCUACGGAGUACCAGUCUCAUUCAGCUCCGGAUCCAUAAAGAGUUGAAUACCGAGCCUCGUGAAGGAGGAGAAAACUAAUGGAACAAUGGUGAGAAGGGACUUCUAUACUGAAGUCUGAAUUGCUGAUACUGUUAGCAACAAGCACCUGAUUCAACUGGAGGAGCCAUUUCAAGCAUAAUCAUUGAAAUCACAAAACAGUUUUGAAAAGAUCGAAUCAUCCGGAAAAAAGGAGGAUUCUCUUUUUCCUUCUUCCUCGGUACAAAUUGCAGGUGGAGAAGGACAGGGAGAGAACUGACCUGAAUGAUGCGGGAGGCGUUCCACGACGUCUCUUCAUGCCGCACCACCACCACCUCCGCGAAGUUCUCGCCGUCCUGCGAUGCAGGUGACAUUGCUCGAUGGGCGCUAGCCGCUGCAGUGAAGAGGAGAGGGACGGACCUUCCAUCCAGGUGCUUUUGUUCCAAUUGACUUUGGAUCCGAGACUAAAGUGUCUUUAGUCCCGGGUCAAAAAUGAUGCACCGAAGGCUACCGACGGAAGGGGCUUUAGUCCCGGUUGUAAAGACCAACUGGGACUAAAGCCUCCCCUUUAGUCCUGGUUGUAACUGCUAAAAGAUCUGGUACCGAUGCCACCCCUUUGUCCCAGUUGGUAAUUCCAACUGGGACUAAAUCUUUUGUUCCGGUUGAAUAGACCAACCGGGGCAAGGGGGCUUUAGUCCCGGUUGGUAGCUUCAACCGGAACAAAACGCCCUUCACGCGCCUCCUUCUCUUUCCACGUUAUCUUUCUCCUCACAUCCUUCCUUCCUUAUCCUCGCACAACACUCCUCUCCACUUCUUAUCCACCGACGCCUCCUCUCCUCUCUACUCCUUAUUCACUGGCACCUCCUCUCCUCCACUCUCCUCUCUGCGCUGCCGCCACCCCAUCCCCCUCUGCUGCCCCUCCCCUUCCCCCUCUGCUCGCCCCUCACUAGUAGUGAGCGACAACGGGGCGAGGGCAGGGUAGUGGCGCGCGGGGGAGCGGUGUCGACCAGCUAGAGGUGUCCCCAUGAGCUAAUGCGGCUGGGCAGCGGGUGGCCGAGCGGUGCCGGGCAGGCUGCAGUGGGCGAGGGCGGAGCGGAGGUGGACAGAGGUGGGUGGCGGCAGGUGAAGGCGGAGCCGAGGUUGUCGGUGGCGGAGCGGAGGCGGGCGGCGACUGGCGGAGGCGAGCAGUGGCGGAGCCGAGGCAGUGGCGGCAGGCGGAGGCCCAUUUUUUUUUAUUUUUUACCUUUUUAGUCCGGGUUGGUAAUACCAACCGGGACUAAAGGACGUCUUUAGUCCCGGGUGAAUGACUCAUGACUAAAGGACCUCCCCUUUUAUCUCGAAAACUUAGUCCCGGUAGGAUUUUCGUGAUCUAUGGCCCUAUCCAACCUGGACUAAAGUCGCAUUUUCCACCAGGGGCAGCAUCCGGAAGGCUGGAAUCACAACCACCUCUCUUGUCCUAUAUAUAUAAUUACCCCGUCCACUUGUCAUAUGUGUUCUUAAUAUUUCUCAUAGUUGACUGUAAUCUCGUCUUGGUUUAUUUAAGUUAGAAAGAAACACGGGAAGAGCAACAGCGCGUUAAUUGGUUUCUGCUCCAAGUCUAAAAGUCUUCCAAGUUUGUUGUACCAGAAUGCUGAUGAUUGCUAUUCAGCCAAGCAAACGAAACACGGUUGCAGAGUGAUGAUACAUCAAGUUCAUGACAUUUAUACUAGACCACACGCCCAAGAAAAUGCAAUGUAAAAACACGGAGAGGCGGAGGCGGUCGGCGGCCGCGGCGUGAGGGCAGAGACGGUGGACGCGGCACGAAUUGAAGAACCUCAAAACGCCGCGGCAAGCGGCAUUGUGGCCGUUGAAUGGCGGGGUUGUAGCCCUCAAGCCGCAUCCAACCAUCACCAAAUGCACUAUGCGGGAAGCCAUCUCCGGUGAGGUGUCCGGCGUCCCCGAACUUCUCCAGGAUCCAACGGCCAUCGGAACCGGAGAUAUGGACAACGCUGAUUGAGGUGUUAGGAAUUUUCUUGCCAACCGAGAUCGUUGGAUCGGCGUGCCUGCAGAUUUCCUCUAUGACUGCCUCAUGGGAGACGACGACCACCCGCUCACCUUUUAACGCAACACGCGACAGCUUGAAAUUCACCACCAGGUGCAAGUUUUGACCAUAUAGAGAGCACAAGAAAUUACUAUGUGGAUUAGUGCUUACCCUUGUGCUUCUUGGCGAUUUCGUUCAAGCGGGAAACACAACGCUCAGAAAGUUGAUCAAGACUCUCCCCGCCACCCUGUCCAAAGGAGAUGACUAGUGAGUAAUAUAUAGCAACCAACAGGGGAAAAGCAUGCCUAAGCCUAGCUUUUACUUCGACUAAGACUAAGUACAACUUUGAGAGGAGAAUGGAAAUUAGUUACAGGUAUUUCUUGGUCUCUGCCACCGCAUGCGAAAGCCUUGUAAGCUUCAGAUCUCUUGGCAUCGUCAAUGGUCCAACCUUGGAACAAUCCCAUGUGCCUUUCCGUCAGUGCCCGAUCAAUCACCAGCUGAAACAAACAGCAGCCCAUUUAUUCAUGAAGCGAGAAAAAUUAGCACAAACUAUUACUAGUAUUCAAAGAAUGUUCAUACAUCAGAAUCAGAUACGCAGCAAUGCUCUGCGAUCGUUUGCGCAGUCUCGGAAGCACGCUUCAAGUCAGAGGAGUAGACGGCAGCUGGCUUGGCUUCUUCCGACAGACGACGGGCAACCUUGAGGGUUUGAACAAAAUCAGAAUCACGUACAUAUCUCAAGUCAUGACGAUCUCACAAAGUAUGGCGUACCUUGGCAGCUUGCUGCCUACCAGUUUCGUUCAGCUCCUGAUCGAUCCGUCCCUGUUGAAACUUAAAAUAAGCCUUAACACAUGUUGUAUUGCAUCGCAGAGGGAGAAUCAUAUCUAAGUGAUGCGAUAAGUAGCAAGCUGUGACAGGACAGGAUGAAGAAGAAGCGACCUGAAUGAUGCGGGAGACGUUCCAAUCCGUCUGUCCAUGGCGCACCAACACCACCUCCGCGAAGUGCUCGCCAUGCGGCGAUGCAGGUGCCAUUGAUCGAUCGGCCGGCGUUAUUGCUGCAGAGGGAACGAAGGGGAGAUGGAUGGUCUUGCUCUAGCUGGCUUGCAGAGGUUCCUUGAAAUCUGGAACCUCUCUGCUCUCUUGUGCUAUAUGAUUGGCCAUCUGGGGCGACUUCAUAGGAGGCCAGAGAGGCCAGAGAGUAGAUUAUAAUUCGUGUACGUUUUGAAGAUGGAAAGAUGGCGACCUGCUAGUUGACUAAUAAAUUAGAAACACGGUUUGAUUUGGUUUGGUUUCGAGAGCAAUUUUGGUUUAGUUUGGUUUCAAGAGCAAUUUGAGCAACAACACCCAUUCCAACAGCAGGUUCGGCUUCUCCAGCAAGUACGUGGCCAACUAAGCUGGUCGGCGGACCAAAUUAAAGAAGCUAUCCACUUUCUUCUCCAUCAAGAUACCCUGUGCUAUAUAAUUACCCCCAUCCACAUCAAGAUACCCUGUGCUAUAUAAUUACCCCCAUCCACUUGUCAUCUGCGUUCUUAAUAUUUCUCAGAGUUGACUGUAAUCUCAUCUUGGUUUAUUUAAGUUGGAAAGAUAAUUGCCUGCUAUUUAAGAAAAAAAAACACGGGAAGAGCAACAGCGCGUUUGGUUUCUGCUCCAAGUCUAAAGUCUUCCAAGUUUGUGGAAUCAUUAGAAUGCUGAUGAUUGCUAUUCAGCCAAGCAAAGGAAACGCGGUUGCAGAGUGAUGAUACAUCCAAGUUCAUGACAUUUAUACUAGAGCACACGCCCAAGAAAAUGGCAAUGUAAAAACACGGAGAGGCGGAGGCAGUCGGCGGCCGCAGUGAGAGGUGUGCGAGCGCGAGGGCGGAGGUGGCGGACGCGGCACGAAUUGAAGAACCUCAAAACGCUGCGGCAAGCGGCAUCGCGGCCGAUGAACGGCGGGGUUGUACCCCUCAAGCCCCAUCCAACCAUCACCAAAUGCACUAUGCGGGAAGCCAUCUCCGGUGAGGUGUCCGGCGUCCCCGAACUUCUCCAGGAUCGAACGGCCAUCGGAAUCGGAGACAUUUACAACGCUGAUUGAGGUGUUAAGAAUUUUUCUGCCAACCGAGAUCGUUGGAUCGGCGUGCCUGCAGAUUUCCUCUAUGACUGCUCAUGGGAGACGACGACCACCCGCUUACCUGUUAACGCAACACGCGACAGCUUAAAAUUCACCACUAGGUGCAAGUUUUAACCAUACAGAGAGCACAAGAAAUUACUAUGUGGACCGGUGCUUACCCUUGUGCUUUUCGGCGAUUGCGUUCAAGCGGGACACAGCGCUCGGAAAGUUGAUCAAGACUCUCCCCGCCACCCUGUCCAAAAGGAGAUGACUAGUGAGUAAUAUAUAGCUUUUACUUUAACUAAGACUAAGGUCCCGUUUGGUAGGGCUUCUCAAAGUGCUUCUCCACCGGUUUUUGGUGAAGUCCUACUAAUGGGUCAAUUUCAAAACGGCUUCACCACCAAAGCCAGGGAGAAGCCGCAAAACGGCUUACACUAGAGAGGAGAAGCCAAAAAAAGUGGCUUCACCGGCUUCUCCUCCCUCUCCAAGCAUUAAGUGAUCAUAAAAUUACAUAUAUUGCCAUUGAGAAGCCGUUUUACCAAAUGUUUUGCAAAAUGGCUUCAGCUUCACUAAAAAAGCCACUCCACCGAAAAAGCCGAAGCCGAAGCGGAAAUUACAUAUAUUGCCAUUGAAAAAUUACUAUGUGGAUCGGUGCUUACCCUUGUGCUUCUCGGCGAUUGCAUUCAAGCGGGAAACACAGCGCUCGGAAAGUUGAUCAAGACUCUCCCCACCACCCUGUCCAAAAGGAGAUGACUAGUGAGUAAUAUAUAGCUUUUACUUCAACUAAGACUAAUUAAGUACAACUUUGAGAUCAGAGGAGAAUGGAAAUUAGUUACAGAUAUUUCUUGGUCCUGCCACCGUGAGCGAAAGCCUUGUAAGCUUCAGAUCUCUUGGCAUCGUCAAUGGUCCAACCUUGGAACAAUCCCAUGUGCCUUUCCGUCAGUGCCCGAUCAAUCACCAGCUGAAACAAACAGAAGUCCAUUUAUUCGGAUGAUAUAUAGAACACCAAUAAUUCGUGAAGCGAGAAAAAUUAGCACAAACUAAUACUAGUAUUCAAAGAAUGUUCAUACAUCAGAAUCAGAUACGCAGCGCGAGGACGGAGGUGGCGGACUAGGCACAAAUUGAAGAACCUCGAACGGCCGCGGCUAGCGGCAUCGCGGCCGUUGAACGACGGGGUUGUAGCCCUCAAGCCGCAUCUAACCGUCCACGGAUUUGGGCCAUUGAAUAGCUUAUUUUUUUUAAAGAACAGGAGGGUAAACCCCUACUGAUUAUAUAUUAAAUUGAAAGGAUACAAAGAAAAUGGCACAAAUCUAAAGAGAGAAAAUAAAAAAAAAGGAAGAGGAAGAGAAAAAGAAAAAAGGGAAAAAGACAAGCCUAGGAGUACAAGCUAAGAGAUUACAGAGUAUGUAACCAGACAUUCAUAGCAAGCACUAAAGCAGGGUGCGCUCUAUGGGGUAACAAGGAAAAUUCAGACAUGAAUUUCCUUUUGCACAAUUCCACUGAUGGAUUGAACAUCCAGUCAUUCCUAGUCAUCCAGAUGCUCCAUGACAUAAGAAUUAUGAUUUCCAUGAAGAAAGGAACAUGCUCCAUGACAUAAGAAUUAUGAUUUCCAUAAAGAAAGGAACAGCAAGCUUGUCCUUGAUUUGUUUGAAAAUCCGAAGGAUUGGUUUGGUGGUGAUAACUGAUACUCCAAUUGAAUUCCAGCAUGCUUUGGCAAAGUUACAUUGGAGGAAUAGGUGUGCCACAUAUUCCAUCUUUUGUAAUAUACAUAGUUCGCAAGUGUAGGAGUCAAGAUCCAUUUGUUUCCUUCUCAAUAUAUCUCUUGUACUCAGACGAUCUUUGAGCAAUAACUAGAAGAAGACCUUGUGUUUGAUCUGACAUUUAGAUUUCCAAAGUCAGAAAUAUGCUGGAUGGGUAUUCCUCUACCCAAUGAUAGCCUUAUAUGCUUUGGAUGUUGAAAACAUUGAAUUGCCCCAAAUGUAUGUACACCUAUCAGGUUCUUGUACGGUAUUCAUGCCAUCAAUGAGUUGUUGCAGGAUAUGGUAUUCAUGCCACCAAUGAGUUGCUGCAGGAUAAUAAAUUGUGAAUGUGCCUGGGUUGUUAGGGGUAAGUUGAAAUUCUGGAUGAAACUUGGUUAGUUGACAGCCGCUUUGAAGGUGAUGUUGUAGUCUUUGGCAAAUGAGAUAAGCUCCGGAUGAACCUGUGAUUGCACUGCUCCAUUCCAAAAGUCUUUUCAAAAGAGUACUGUGGAGCCUUCUGCCACUAGAACUGAAGCAAUUCCUUUGUAUGUAUCCAAUAAUUUGACUACAUCCCUCCAUCAAAAGGAGCCUUUUCUUUGCUAACCCAGUAGUCGACCAUUAGCAUAGUAAUUUUCCCAUACAAUGUUGACCCAAGGAGUGUCAACCUUGGAGAAGAACUUGUGCAGGAACUUUAGCAACAUAGCAUCAUUAUGUGUAGCAAGAUUGAAAACUCCCAAUCCACCUUGUUUCUUAGGCAAACAUACCAAAGGCCAAGCAGCUGUGGAAGGCUUCUUGGAGUUCAUGUCUGAUCCCCUCCAUAAGCAGUAUUUCCUAUAUUUGUGCAAUUUUAGCGUUGAUGUAUAGAAAACUACUGAUGAAGAGAAGACCGAGUUAACCAUCUCCAACUUGCCAACUUGACUCAAAAAAAGGGACAUGUUGCUUAACCUCUUUUCUAUCUUUUGUAUGAGGGGCAGAAAAUUUUCCAUGUUAGGCUUGGUGGUUCCUAGGGGCAGUCCCAGAUAUGUGAAGGGGAGAGAACCUUUUUGACAGUUAAAAGUUGUGGCAAGAUUCUCAAGAUUUGCUUCAGAAAUGUUUAGGGGUACUAUAGCCGAUUUACUAUAAUUGACCUUCAGUCCAGUGGAGGCAGCAAAGGUGCUAGGAAGGUCUUUGAGGAAUAAGUGCUGGUUUGGGCAGGCCUCCAUAACAAGUAGGGUGUCAUCUGCAUAUUGGAUAAUUGGAAAAUUUGUCCCUGCUCUUUCUGGAAUUGGUAGUUUAAGAAAUCCUUGGUCUUUGGCUCUAUUGAUGACUGAUUGAAGUAGGUCUGGUGCCAGGACAAAAAGAAGAGGUGAGAGGAGAUCACCUUCCCUUACUCCUCUUCUGAAGUGAAAGACUUUCCCUAGAACUCCAUUCAGAAGAAUUGAAGAUGUGUCUGAUCCUAGUAUGUCUUUGAUCCAAUUAAUCCAUCUAUCCCCGAAGCCUUGUGUUUUAGAAUUUGUAGAAUGUUCUGAUGUUCCAUCUUAUCAAAGGCUUUUCCAAAGUCUAGUUUCAGAAUCACUAAUUCUCUUUUAGAGGCCUUGCAGAUAUGUAGAUAUUCAAUGACCCAAGCCAGAUAGUCGUGUAUAGAUCUUGAUCUAAUAAAACCAUAUUGAUUUUUGUGGAUGAAUCUUAGGAUGACCUGCUGUAGCCUGUCUACAAGUAGCUUGGUGAGUAGCUUAAUUGUGGAGUUCAGGAGGGAAAUUGGUCCAAAGUCUCCAACUAAGGAUGGACAGUUCUUCUUGGGGAUCAGGAUGAUGUAUGAAGCAUUGAUGCUUCUUAGACAUAUAUUUCCUUCAAAAAAAAUCCUCACGGAGUUUGUAGAAGUCUUGAGAAAUUAGGUUCCAGCACUUCUUUAGGAACUCUACAUUAAAGCCAUUAGGUCUUGGGGACUUGUUGUUAGGGAGCUCUGUAAUUAUCUUAUUAAUUUCUUCUUAGGUAAAUGGACUUUCUAACCAGUCCAUAUUGUUGUCAACCCGAAGUAGAGAGUCAAGGUCAAAGUACAUGUGUGUAAACUUUGAGGUUCCUAUUCUUCCUUUAUAAGCGUUCCAGAGCAUUGCUGCCUUGGCUUCAUGGUCAAACACCUCACUUCUAGAAUCAUCUGUCAGAGAGGUAAUAGUGUUCUUCCUGUGUCUGAUCGACGCAUUGGCAUGGAAAAACUGAGUACACUUGAUGGGUCCAUAGACCCGGGGUUCCCAAUGGGCCUGCUUUUGCACAACACCUGGCCCAACGAGAGGUGCAGUGAUAAUGCACGCCUGGGCCGGCCCAAAUACGUGACGCCAGGCCGAGACCAUGAUCCAGCCACCGACCUGCAAUUCCGACUAGGAGGCCUGGUCGACGCCCCGACCAGAAGGCCUGGUCGGGGGCGGGACCACAGUCCGACUCCGACCAAGUUCCCCCAACUAGGGACACGCCAGACCUACGCAUACCACUCCUUCCCGACUGGCACGGUCGGGACUAUGGCGGAACUACCCAAAUUAACCUGACUAAAAUGCACUUAAGUCAUCUGACACGCGAUCAUGCACUUUAACCAAGUCAACUUGGUCAUCCGUUGGAUUUCAUCCGAUAAACCACUUACUCAGGAUCGAGAAGCAUUGCUCACAUGAAGGUGAGUGGCACAAAGAUUACAACAUUCCUAUCACAUUAACAUAGUUUGGAAGGUUGUAAACAACGAAGAAGUAAAACAAGCGGAAGCUACCCGACGAUACAUAAUACCAUGGAGAAGCCGACCAUGAUAUCAAUGACCCCUGUCCUCGCCAUCCGAGGAGGGAUCCCACUCGACUAUCCAACCCGGAGGGAGCUGGGUAGGCCAAGUGGUGCCAGCAGCCAAACUAUCGACAUUACCUGAAAAGUUAUGCCACAAGCAAGGCUGAGCAACUAAUACUCAGCAAGACUAACCUAAUAGGUGAUAACUAUUCACCGACUCCUAGACAUGCAAAACUUUUUGGUUGUGGGUUUGUUUUUGCCAAAACACCUAAAGUUGUCCUUACUUUCAACAUUUUAGCUCAAGUUCUAUGUUCAUUAACCAGACUAGAUUAGCAACUUAUACUAAACAAGCAUAGUUUCCAAACAAUUAAAGAACAAGCAUCAAGAUUAAAGUCAUCAUCAUAUUCCUUCUUUACUCAGUGCAGAAUAACGAUCAAGCAGUCCCAAACUAUGAGAGGCAGAUGAAUUAAUUUGAAUUUAUUAACCAUGCAUGGAGAACCUAAUCUCACGACAUCCGCGCACCACGAAGGGUCGCUUCACUUGUCAGCCGUCCCCAUCGAUCCCUAUGCACGUGUCAGGGCCAAACUUCCCUGGCAUGCAAUGCUGCACAGUCCCGGUCUCUUGUCGUACUGUGACGGCACUUGCACCCACAUGAUGCACCAUGGGAACCUCGUUCCAGGGACAGCAGGAGUAUAAGACACGCCCCAGUUCAAUCAGGUACUAGGCUUCCCUAUCCCAUACUAGGUAUGAGAUUAGUACUUUCAAACACUUGAUCAUGAACGCUGACAUGUUUUGACCUUAGCAAGUUCAUUACUAGACAGACAGGGCAAACCACCACAUUGGAACCAUUCCCGGUCCCGUCCGUCAUCCUUAUAGUUGUAGUAUGAGAAAACAAACAACUCCUAUAACUCGCGAGUGACAGGCAAUCACUCGACUUUUGCCAAGUCCUAUUUAGCACAACAACUACUCGACCUUAGCAACUAGUGUUCAGAUCAAAGGUACUAAAUUCAUGCAUCUACAGUUUCAAUCAACUCCUACAAACGUAAAUGCACAAUCAUAAUCAUCAAUAUAUUGCAUAAAUUUAAAACAGGGAAGCAUGCACCGGGGCUUGCCUUCAGGUUUAGAAAAAUUUAGCGGGUCUUCGGGGUCUUGAUCUAGCUCGGGCUCAACUUCCGUGUGAUGUAGCUCUGCGGCGUGUUCCUCUUCCAGUGUAGGGUGGAGCUCGUAGGUUCCGUCAGCGAUAUUAGCUUCUACACGACAUGCACAUGCAGAGAGUUCAAUUUUUCAUGCUUUCAUACGAAUGAUGUAAGACAUGACUUAUUGCUGAAAUGAAAGUUGCAUUUCGACCACAUUCACCUAAACAAGGUUUCAAAUUUCGUUACCUUCAUGAAGUAAGGUGUGUUGUGGUUUAAAACUAAGGGUUGACUUUGAUGGUGAUUGUGUACAUAUAUAAGAUUUCAUAACUUAGACUUCACAAGGAAAGUGAGGGUCGCUUUUAGGAUUGUUCGGGUUUCAUUUGGAAAGUCAUUUAUUUCUGAAUGUUUUUAUUGUACCUCUUCCAAAAAUCACCAAUUAAGUUUACUAGGACUUAACAUUUCCUUACUCAUUUAAACCGAUUCCUCAUCCAAAAUUUGUUUCCACAAACCAACACUAGCAUAUGACAUUGAGAAAUGAGCAGUACCUCACUCAUGUCAUCAAUGAGUUACUGUAAAAAUUUGGGAUCCAUUGAAUUAGCACAAAAAGAAUUAAAAUUACUUUAUUACCCAAGGGUAGCAUGCACUUAACCAUUUUUAUCUCAAAACCUACAGUGAUUCCGAGGGUGAAACUUUAACAGUGGGUUGAAGGUGUGUUAUAGAGACUUUGGUGAAUUUUUCAUGAUUUGUGGUGAAGGACAACUAUUUCCCAUAUUUUACUCCUAUUAUCUUGAUCUAAAAAGGAAAGUGGGUUUCAUCAAGCUUUAGUCAAGGUUUCAUAUUUUCCAUGUGAACUAAGCUUCAAAACUAAGCUACUCCAAGUGAUUUCAUAUUUUUCUCAGCUCUAGAUUAAAACUUAUGCAAAAAGAAAGAUUUAACCCUAGAUUUCAAAUAUAAAGCUAAAACAGUGAGUUAAAGUUCUACUCCAGGGUCUUCACUAUUUUUCCAAGCUUCCAUACUUAGAAACAUACACCAUAGAGUUGGAUUUAUCUUUUUAGUAUUUUUCUUUGAUUUACUAUGAUUUAAAAGGCCUAAGCAAGAAAUGAAACUAUAGGGUCUUAUUUCCAACAGUAACAUGGGCAAGAUUAUUUUUGUAUGAAACUGGAUAGUUCACUAAGUCCAACAAAAUUUAUUUGGCAUUUUCUAAUUUUUCUACGAUUUAUGGUGCAUUUACAAAGUUUAUUCUAUUUUCUAUCAAUUUAAAACAAUUAACCGAAAGAACUUACAAUCUAACCCUCGCGUCUAAGGUUUAAUCGUGCAGUGUUCUCUAGUUCUUGUGCUAAGGCCCCUAGAAAAAGAUAAAAGACACAGGGAGGCCCCUAGCGGCGGCCGUCGCCGAUCUUCGCCCGAUUUCGGCGAUGCAAGGCUUGGGCCUGGGCAAGAAGCUAUUGGGGAGAAGCGCGUUCUCACCUAGGGUCAAUUGGCGGCGGUUAGGACGUCGGAGAGGGCUCGGUGAAGGCGGAACGCCGUGGGGACGAGGAGCGGGUCGUGGCGAUGGUCCUCAAGGUGUUCCGGUGCCGGUAGUGCUCCGGGAGGGCAAUGGGCAGCUCGGGGACGUGCGUGGUGGAGCGGCGGAGCGAGCGGCGGUCUCGAUGGGGCGCGGGGCGGCACGGAGGUGGGGCUCCACGGGAGACCCGAGCGGCAGCCCAAGGAAAAUAGGGGAGCGGUGGUGCUAGAGCUAGCGGAGGGCGGUGUAGGCGGCACCAUAAGUCCUUUUAUAGGGCCAGGGGGAGCGGCGGGUCGAGGCGGGGCUCCGGACGUGGGAAGAUAAGAUCGGAGGGGCGCUGUGGGCUGCGGGUCGAAGCUCCAUUGGCGGCGGCGCCAUUGGUCGGGGUGCGGAGGCCGUGGGAUAGGAUCCCUCGGUCAUUGGCCUUGAGGGAUUCGAAGCGUGCAUGUAACAACCCUAGGUUAGCUAAACCCUGUUUAAACUUAAAUGAAGCAAUUAACAGCUGAUUAAACAAGUCAAGGGUCAACUUUGGCCCCUAAGAGCUUAAAUAUGUGAUUAAGUCAUAAGUUAAAUUUUUAUAUAACAGCCUGAAAUUUUAUCCAACUAAGAGUUGUUAAACUCAUCAUUUCUAACAACUUUUAUUAUAAGCAUUUUGUUUGAAAUUGAGUAGAAGAGAUCCAAAAACUCAGUUUAAAAUCAGAGGCUUUUCAAAUCACUCAAAAUCCUAAGUGCUGAAAGGCAUGAAAAAGUCCCAACUUUGGGGCUCUUUAUUUCAAAAUUUCUAAUAUAAAAUCAAGCUGAGCUCUAUACACAAGUUUUAGAACUUCAAGUGCUUAAUAACUUUGAUUUUUGGAGCUAGGCCAAAAUCUGCACAAAAGUUUUCAAACUUUAGGUCAAACACAGCCAGUUUGGUCAACACCGUCACACUCUGAAAAUCGUUCCAAGUCUGAAGUUUUCAGUUUUUGCCAAACAUUGAUGCAUUUUAUCUCCAAAACCGUUUGGAUUUUGAACAAAAACUUUAUGAAUAAAGUAAACUAGGGUGCUAGGCCUACAAGUUUUGUAAAGGAGGGUAGGGGCGAGCAGUUCAAAAAUUGGUAGUAAAUCAAGCCCCAAGACCGGUCCUCCGGCAUUUUUCGCGUUCCCGCCUAGCGUCAGAGAACGCACGCGCCAGAGCCCGCACCUCGCCCGCCGUGUGGCUCCACCUCACCGGCGAGCCCCGUCACCCAACCUGCGGCCGUGAGCUGACCCGACAAGCGCCGCCUCGCCUAAUAGCCUCGCUUGCCGCGACAGCCUCGACGCGCGCCUACAGUCGGUCGCACGCCCAGUCACCCGGCCCUCUGCUACGGGUGCAUGUCCCCGCACGCGCCGCAGACCGUCGCCGCCACUUCGCCCAACGCCCUCCCGCGACAAGAUGCCACAAGAGCCGAGCCUUGCCAAUGCGCCUCCCUAACAGCCCCGCUCAUUCGCGCACGCGAGCUCUUGCCCUAUCCUGCCGCACCGCCCGUCGGCGGCAAUGGCCACUGCCGAGCCUCGCCAAUGCGCCUCCCUAACAGCCCCGCUCGUCCUCGCACGCGAGCUCCUGCCCUAUGCUGCCGCACCGCCCGUCGGCGCCAAUGGCCGCCGCCAUGGCCGGUCCACCCGGCAGCACGCGCCUUGCCCCACUCUUCGGCUCCAGCUACAGACGCGUGCCUCGCCGCGGCUAUAAUACGCCCACCAGCCUGCCCGCACUCCCUUUCACAGCUCCGCGCACCCGCACCGCCGGAACGCCCACCUGAGCACGCCGCCGCCUAAGCUCCUCCAUGGAGAGCUAGCCUCCGCCGUGCGCCACCCCUCACCGGUGCCCCUAGCCACUUCGCCGCCACCUCGCGAAGCUGCUGCGCUUGCCCAUCUCCGCCGCCCAGACCCAGCCCCGCCGGAACACCAACGCCACCGCCCGCCGCCGCAGCCGAGCAAGCCGUCUCCGCGUGCUGCCACCGUCGGACCGCCCCGCCGCCCGCAACCGCCUCAAAUCAGUCGCAGGUGAGCCCCUGCGCCUCCCCGACCUCUUGUCACCCCAAUCCCGCUGGCUAAUCGCCGGAAUUCCGACCGGCCACCGCCGCCGGCCCGCCGAGGACUCGAUUGCAUUUGAAAAAUGCGAAUUAGGGGUCUCUGUGAAGUUUUGUUACAACCUAUGGGUGAUUAGUUGAAAACCCGAGGGCCCAACCGUAAGUCUACCUGAGAAAACCCGCGCGAGGACCUGUUUGUGUAUAGCGAGGGCAUGGUUGUGAAAUCCGAAAGUUUCUGAGGGCCUAGUUGCAAAUACGUUUCGGUUUAUAUUUUUAUAUCGGCAGAAUAUAUGUUUAACUUUGAAAAUUCACCAAAAUUCGUAGAAAAUUCAGCAAAAAGUCAAACCAAUUUUGCUAGACUCAGUAUAAGAGUAGUUUUUAAUAAAAAUACUUUUGGCACAUGUCUUUGUUAGAAUUAAAUUUAUAUGAUUUAAUCCUUGUUUAAGCUAUUUAAAUCAUAACAAAUCACAGAAAAAUGCUAAAAAGGGUAAAUCCAUUUCCCAAGUGGUUGUUUCAGAUAGUAGAAGCUUGGAAAAAUAAUUUUGGAGCCCAUCUCAGAUGUUUAAAUCUCUAUUUUAGUUUUAUCAUGUGUAUCUAAGGUUGUUUUCGUCUUUUGCAUUAUAAUUAAACCAGAGAUGAUAAAAAUAUGAAACAAAGCGUAAUAGGUCAGUAGUGUAGUAUAGUUUGUAGGAAAAACAUAGAACCUGAUUAGAAGCAUCAGAAAAACCACCUUCCUUUUUAGGGAGGAAUAAAUAGGGUAAAUGUAUAGAAAAAGAUGCCCUUCAUUAAAAAUUGUGAGAAAUUCACUAGAGGCUCUAUUUCACCCCUGGAACCUACUGUUAAAAUUUCGUGAUCAGUUUCAUCUUGGUUUCUGUUUUAAUAAUGUUUAAGUAUAUGCUACCUUAGGGUAAUUGAGUAAUGCUAAUUCUUUUCAUGCACCUCCAAUGGAUCUCAAACUUAUGCAGUAUCUUAUCCUUGCCAAAGUUAAGUUACUGGUAUAUUUUCAGCUUCAUAGCUUGCUGUUAAAGAUGGAAAUAAAAUUGCAAGAUGAGCCUAGCUAAAUGAAAGAAAGAAACCUUAAUUAAUGAUAAAGGUAUUUUUUUAGGAGAGGUACAAAAGAACAUUCAGAAACAGGAUAACUUUCCGAUCUAAAGUUUAACAAGAUAGUGCAUAUAUGUACACAAUCACCAUCAAAUCAACCCCAGGCUUGUACCACACCCCACCUUCCGCGUGUAGAUAAAGAAGGUGUAAAACCUUGUUCAAGUGAAUGUGGCCCUAAUAUAACUACUUCUUCAGUACUAACUCGUGUUUUACAUCCUAUGAAAAAGUUUGGGAAUUUUUAACUUGAUGCAUUGCAUUUCGUGUAGACCUGAACCUCGCUGACGGGACUUACGAGCUUCACCCGGCGCCAGAAGGAGCCAUAGCGGAUCUGCAGCAAGUCAGAGCCGAGCCCGUACCAAAACAAGCCGAGGACCAGUUCGCUAACUCCCCGUGUGAAGGCAAGCCCCAGAGCAUGAAUUCCUAUCUUUAAAUACCUGCAAUACAAUUGAUUGCUUUGAUUGCGCAUUUACGUUCUAGGAGUUGAUUAACACCGUAGAUGCAUGAAUUUAGUACCAUUGAUAUGAACACUAGUAUAUUAAGUCGAGUAGUUGCAAUACUUAAUAGGACUCGAUAAAAGUCGAGUAAUUUCCUGUCACUCGCGAGUUAUAUAAGUUGAUUGCUUUACUUAUGUUGCAACUAUAAGGACGAUGGACGGGGAUGGGCUUAUGUUUGGUACUCGGUGGUUUGCCCCGUCUGUCUACAUGAAAUUGGACUAAGGUCGAGAUUUGAUAGUGUUCGUGAUCAAGUAUUUGAAAGUACUAAUCUCAUACCUAGUAUGGGAUGGGGAAGCCUAGUACCUGAUUGAACCAGGACGUGAGCGGAUCGUUCCACUGUCUCUGGAAACUGAGUUCUCCCCUGAUGCAUCAUGUGGUGACAAGUGCGGUCAUAGAACGGCGGAGGCCUGGUCUAUAGAGCCUUGUACCAAGGGAAGUGGGCCCGACACAGGUUUGGGAAUUGAUGGGGGUGGCUGACAAAUGAAGUGACCCUUCGCGGUGCACGGAUGUCAUGGGAUUAGGUUCACCAUACAUGGUUAAGAAAUUCGAAUCGAUUCAUCAGCCUCUCACAGUUUGGGAGUACUUGAUCGCUAUGCUACACUGAGUAAGAAUGAAAGAUAGUGAUGACCUAAUAUGGUUACUUGCUAUUAAUUAUUUGGAAACUAUGCUUGUUUAGUAUAGUUGCUAACUUAGAUUGGUAAAUGAACAUAGAACUUGUGGCUAAAAUAUUGAAAGUAAGCACCUACAUUAGUCGCUUUUGGCAAAAACAAACCCUAGAGCCAAAAAGCUUGCAUGUCUAGGUGUUGGUGGAGUAGUACCACCGGUCGGUUAAGUCUUGUUGAGCGUAGUCGCUCAGCCUUGUUGUGGCAUAUCUCUUUUCAAGUGAUGUUGAUACCUCUGAGUUCGAUGCAAGUGGCACUUGGCCUGCCCAACUUGCUCCGGGUUGGACGGUCGAGUGGGAUCCCUCCUCGGACAGCAAGGAUAAGGAUCAUUGAUGUCAUGACCGGCUUCUUCAUGAAGAUCAUGCAACAAUGUCUAGCUUUCGCUUAUUUAUUUCCGCUGCUUGAAAACUCUGCAAACUUGUUGAAUUUCGGAACUCAUGUUAUAAUAAUUCAAUGCACUUUGUUAAAUCUGGAUGGACUGUUGUAAUCUCUGUAACCACUCACCAUCGUGUGAGUCUUGCUUUAUCGAUCCUGAGUUAAGUGGUUUAUCGGAUGAAAUCCGACGGACGACCAAGUUGACUUGUUUAAAGUACAUGAUCGCGUGUUAGGUGACUUAAGUGUGCUUUAGCCAUGUUAAUUUGGGCGGUUCCGCCACAGCGCAAGCGUGGCUUUGCCGCGGUCGUGGGUUGUGGAGCGAGGCACUCGUGCGGUCACUGUCCGGGCAUCGAUAGGCGAACGGAGCUUGGCCGGUCCGAGGCGGUGGCGUGGCAUCCUCUGGCGGGCGGAGCUAGCUCAAGACGGGGCGAAGGGCAUGCGUGGCAUCAGGGAGCGGGAUAAGCGCGCUCGCCUACUAGGCAGCCGAGCGCGCGAGUUGUUGUGUCGCGGCCGUCGGUUGGGCGACGGUGAGCUCGCCAGUUGAUGGCGGCCACGCGGCGGGUAGCGUGCGGGAACGCGCGUCGCGGCGCACUCUGGCCGAGGGCGUCGCAAGGUAGGGGGAAAAGGCUAGGUUUGGGGGAUUUUUGUUAAAACUUUUUCAAAAGAACCCGUGAAACUCCAAAAGUAAAACAUGUAGUCCUAACGUCCAGCUCCAAACUUUACAAAAAGAGUUUGCUUAAAUUCGAUAUGGAUUUGAACCUAUGGAUUUGCAAAGUUCGGCAGAACGUCAGCCUCCUAGGACUUAGACAGAUUUUGGUUUUGCUGUUUUUAAGCAUUUUGGCCAACUUUGGCUCAGAUUUUGAGUAGCUUCCCAUUUGAAUCAUGCCAAGCUAUAAUUGAAGGAAUUGUUCUUCGAUCUUAGGACUCCAACUCCUAGUAAGGACUUUUCUCAGGUUCAGUUCAAUUUUUAGGAGAAACAGGCUUGCCAACAUGCGUGCUCUGGGUGUCCUUCCAGACUUAGCGCAGAAAAGCAUUUGUGCUAGCUUGACUAUUUUGAGCGACAUUGACCAAGAUUUUGAAUAGGUUUGGUUGUGAAUUAGACUUGGGUCAGUAUAACAAAGUUGUAACACACUCGCGGAACUACAACUUCUAUUAGGGGUUUGACUCGAGGUUAGAUAUAGAAUUGUGAGAUAAUAGGUUGCAAAGUAGAGGAAAAACAUGAGUUCCAGGACUUACGUUAUUUGCAGGAUUUUGAUGUACUCCUGAUUUGACUCUUAUUUUUGACCUUCUUCCACUCCAAAUUAGCCGAUGUGUUAUUAAUAAAAUUUGUUUGAAAUUAAAAGUUUUACAACUCCUAUUUGGGCAAAAAUUCAAGUUUGUAUACAAAAACUCAAGUUUCCUAUUUAACCCCAAAAGGAGAUUUUUAGGGGCAAAUUGGACAUUUCACUUCUUCUACUUAGUGACUAAUGACUUUAUUAAGUAUAACUACACCUAAUUAAGGUAGAAUUGUUACAGGGAUCGACCAGGACAACUGACAGGGGAUGCCCACUUGGUGUGGACCCAGGGAGUAGGUUAAGCAGAUAAAGGAAAACACAAAGGUCAACCACUGUACAGAGGACCAUACCUAGCCAUGCCCUGCGCAAACGCCGCACAGUGCCACCGUGCAAUGUCAGGCGAACACUGUGCUACCUGACCGUCACAACGGAGCAUGAACAAGGAUGGAGUGCGAUGGUCAUACUGUACCCGGCGACGUGGGCAACGACAAGACUAGGCAGCGCUCGUACUCUCUCUCUCUCUAACUUGUAAGGCUGUCCCCUUGGACUAUAAAAGGGGAUGGGCCCUCUCUCUCCCAAAUAGGUGAAGCGUCCCCACAUCAGCGGAGACUAAAUGUGAUAGAAAUAUCAGUCCCAGGAGGCUGAUAACACAUUUAUUCGACAGAUGGUUCAAAAACCGUACAACUCCCGAAGGAGCGGGCGGGCAAGCCACACCCAAAGAAGAACUAAACCAAUAACGAUACAAAUCCAAGUUGCAGUCCAGUCGGACUCCGGGCUGCAAUCGGAACUAAGCGUCAGCGGAAGCAUUCUGCAAAAGCCAACACCACAGGCAGCGUUGGGUGCGGACACGACCUCCUACUCGAGAUCCUUGGCGAUGUAGUCUGGGUCUUCCUCUGAAGCAACAAAACAAGGGUGAGUACGAAGGUACUCAACAAGUCCAACCCCAUCCACGGAGGGGGAUACAAACAAGAGUAUGCACAGGAUAUAACAAGGAUAAGGUUAAGGUUCAUUUGCAACAAAGCUAGAUUUUCAACACAUGCAGAGGUUCAUUUCCAAAAGAGUUUUUGCAAAGCAUUUCCUUUAUUAACCGAAACAUUAAGUGGGGUUGAUCCUACACAAAGGAUCCAAAUUUUAUUGCUAUCGGACUCCCCGUCCGCCAUAGCUCAUGACACAACUGCCGGACACUUCCAAAGUCCAACACACGCCAUAAAAACCAUCCAUCUCCAAGUGCUAGUUAUGUGACCAAGCCGUAACUCGUCCAAUCCCAUGGACACAGCUACCCGGAUAGGUUUUAACUCUGCAGAGGUUGUACACUUUUCCCUCAAGUAGGGUACCGCAGUACGAUCACCUUAGUGCCAGUGCGAAUCCUAACAAAGCCAUUACCCACCUUAGCUAAGAAUGACUAGUCCACACGGAAGCAACCAAGGGGUUAAUGACAUACCAACGAGGUUGUAACCGGGACCUAAGUCACAAAGAUCUUACUCCUUUUUCAUGGGCUGCCGUUGCUCACUAGCUCACCCGAAGACUAACAGUUUAGCUAGUGGGAUUUAUGCUAAGCCGUUGCCGCAUACAAUGGAGUGGUUGCACGAAGGUUGGGUUAGGCAAGAUGACACAUUAACUUGGUCCUUAACCAUGACAAGAUGGAUAUCUCCCAACCUUGCUCAAGCACCAAGGUACGAGCCCAACAUAUUGGCAUUUCACACCUGAAACACCCAUCCAUCUCAUCUAAGCAUUUCUUUCCUUUACUUCCAAAAAACCCAAUUUCCCUUUUUAAAAUACUCACACAUUUAUUUUUUAACAAAACACAUUAUGGUCAUGACUGAAUUGAGUAACAAGGUCCUAAGCAUUCUAGCAGUAAUUAUCAUCCAAACAGAGCAAGUCAUAUUUAGAGAUAGUUAUAGGACAAGCAAGGAAUAAUCAUAACAAUCAAGGGGUGGCUAUCCAACCAUGUUUCGGCGGUAAAAUAAUAUGCAAUUUAUAAAAUAGGCCAAUAUGUUGUGUUUGAAAAACUAGGAUAAAUAUGCAUCAAAGGGUGAGAUUGGACUUGCCGUUCUCAAAGCCUUCCGGGAGUUCCUGCUCGCGGUACUGGUCCUCGGGCUCGGGCUCAUGGUCAAACUCCUCCUCAUGCUCCUCCUUGGGUACUCCACGAUCUAAGCACACACAAUCGAGCACACAAUAAAUAAAAGAGAAUUAAAAAUUUUCCCAUUGAGCUACGAACAGAGAAUGCGAACGGAAAAUUGAAGGAGUGAGCAUUUUCAUGAAAUUUGGAUAUGCCUCAGUGGAAGUAUAUGGGAGGAGGCCGUGAUCGAAUUUGGGAUCAAUUGGAGGAAGUUUGGCGCAUGAAAUGAUGAGUUAAAGGAGUGUUAGGGGCUUAAAUCAAGGUUUAGGACUAAACUGCGAGAACUAGGGACCUAUUUGUAAUAAUUUCCGAAAGGUGGAAGGGCGUAUCCGUGAGAUUUCUUUGAGAGAGGUGGGAGGGCUGGUUUGCAAAUAGGGGAAACUAGGAGGUUAGAUCGAAAUGGAGGCCUUCUUCUUCCUUGGGCCGAGACAGAGAGAUUGGAGGGGAGGGAAACCGGUGGGGGGGCCGGCCGGCCGGGCCUCACCGGCGGCAAGCUGAGUGGUGGGGGAGGUAGAGGGGGACGAGGGCGUCCCGUUUGAGGUUUCACCUCGGGCGGAUGGUGGCCGGAGAUGGGGCGUCGGCGGCGGGCAAAGGAGGCGGCGGCGGAGCUCCUGACAGCGGCGCACAGGGCGGUGGGGAAGGGGGUGACGAGCUAGGGGGGAGAUGCUGGUGGUGUGGGGAGGCGGCAGGGGCUCGGCCCCCUUUUUAUAGGCGGCGAGGAGGAGCUCGAUGGCCAGCGGCCUUCAAUGGUGGCCGAGAAUCCCGGUCGGUGGCGUGCCGGAGCGGAGCUCCACGUGGACGGCGUGGUGGGGCUGGCUCGGUCGACGAGGAGCACAGGAGGCACACAGGGGUGGUGGCCGGCGUGGCGUGCGGCCGGUGCUCAUCGGGCGGGGCCGGCCAGGCGCAGGCGGUGGCGUGCGGCUCGACGCGCGAGGCCGGGCGCGGGCGCGGAGCCGGACUAGGCGCAGGCGCGGGGCCGGCACGGGCCAGGCGCAGGAGCCGGGGCCGGGUGAGCGGUGCCAGGCGCCAGACGCCAGGGAGGCGGCGCUAGGGAGAGGAGAGGAAAGAGAGGAGGAGGGAGGAGGAAGAAGGAAGAAAGAGAAGGAAGGAAGGGAAAAAAGAAAAGGGGGAAAAGGAAAAGGAAAAAGGGAAAUCGGCGAUAGUUGCGGAAUUGGUCGGGCACGCGUGACGGAUUUGACGAGCACGCGGCUAAAUUUGCGGGGAACGGAAAAAGAUGAUUGUCGAUGUUGGGUGCCGGGAUGGCGGGUCGCCGAGAAGGAAAAGAUUUUUCGGGAGCUCAAUGGUCGAAAGAUUUUGAAAUAAAUUUUUUAGCGGGUGAUUUGAGUUAGUAAAUUUUACGGACAUUACAAUAGGCCAUACACAUGAGGCACAUCAAAAACCCUCUGAUUCUCUCCAGCACAUAGCACACGCUUUAAGCCCCCCGUCACUCUCUUCCACUUGGACCAGAGCACGACCGGGUCUCGGACACCCCCUUCUCACCCCCAACUCGUUUGUACCCCAACUACAAACUUGGAGCACCUGGGCUUAGGAAUACAGUCAACCAACUGACCUCGAACUGAACGUAGGUCACGUAGCCCGAACCAGUAUAAAACCUGUGUCAUUGUGUGCUAGGCCAUUCCGAUCUAACGCACGGCAAAACUACUAACAUUUACUUGUCGGCCAGAUUCCGCCCCGACAGCACUCAUCUCCAAACUUAACCCAUUUGAUUGUUCCUCUUUGCUUCCAUUAGAUCUUUUGUUGGUGAAGAAGGUUCUGUAAGUGAUUCCUAAUUAUGUGCCUAAAGAUCCAUUUUUCUAAGGUUAAAUCUCAUUGUUCUUCCAUAAUGUUCAGGAGCUGGAUCAAGUCUUUGCAGUUCCUGAUGGUAGCUGGUAAAUUUGGUAGUUGUGCUUUUCAAGCAUUUAACACUCUCCCCUUAGGUUCUUAAAUUUUGCACUUAUCGUCUUGGUACUAUCAAUUUGAGGGUUGGGCAAAUUCCAUCCAUGUUAUAGAACUAGCACAAAAUUCUCAUGUUCCAACCAAUAGCUUUCAAAUCUGAAUAUCCUAGGCUUAGGAACAUUUGUGCUUGCCGUGAUGGUACAUGGAGUGUGAUAUGAGAUGUCUCUGGACAACCCUGAGGCAAAGGAGUUUCAAAAAAUAGUUGUCCAAGCAUUAGAUGUGAAGAACCAGUCUAAUCUUUCCAGUAAAGGAUUCUGUUGCUUGUUUGUCCAGGUAAAUUUGCAUCCUCUAAAGGGCAAUUCCACUAAACUAAGGUUGCUAAUGGUUUCAUUAAAAGCCAGCAUUUCCUGAAGAUUACCCCUAGCUUAUUCCUAUCUUCUCCUAUCUUCAAGCUUCCUGAUGAGGUUGAAGUCUCAGCCAUUUUUCGUCAUCAGGCAUAUUAAUCCUUUUGAACCAGUUCAAAAAUGCGGUUUUGCCUUCUCUAGUACAGGGUGCAUAGAUAUUGGUUAGGAUCCAGUUUUCUCCAAUCUACCUACAUGAGAAUUAUACUGAUUGGGCAUAAUCAUUUUGAAAGUCCAAGUGACCACUGAACUUGGAACUGUUCCAGAUAAUGUUAGUCCCUCCUGAGUUACCCACUAAUAGUAAGAACACAUAAUCAUCCAUAUAUGCUGGAUAGAAAUUUUAACAUAUGUAAUAUCGAAGAAUUCUUUCUAAGUUUCUUGUAGACAUAGAAUAUCACAUUUGGAUUUACAAAUCUUGCUUUUGACCGCAUCCCAUUUCCCAUCAGAGUUAAUACCUCUAAUAUUCCACGAUAGAAUGACCCAAUUCCUUUUAUGUUGUCCCUGAUUAUAGAUGCUCAUUGAUGAGAAGCCCAACAAAUCGCAUGUGUAAGAUACAAUUAUCCACAGGAUGUCCAAACCGAAAUAAAUAAACAUUCUAAUUAAGAUAAAGAUCACCAGGAUCAACCACAUGUUCAUAAGGGAUAAUAAAGAAGUCCACAUCCCCAAGACAUUACAGUUUAACAAAAUCUCAACCAUUCCCAUCAUGAUACAGGAUAAACUAAUAAUGAAGAUAGCAAAUAAGAUCUUGCUACUUCUUGAUCUUCUUGCGUGAUUCCUCGGAUUCAAUCUCAUCGAUCUUCUCUUUGCUUUUCUCUCUCUUGGAGUUGAUUACCUUCCUGGAGGUCUUGUGGCUUCCAAUGACUUGCUUGUUCUUGCCUUUGUUGCAUAAUGCAUCCUCAGACAGAGCUUGUUGAAUAGCUUGUUCAGGUCCACUCUGCGGGAAGCCAUCUCCGGUGAGAUGUUCGGCGUCUCCGAACUUCUCCAGGAUCCAGCGGCUAUCGGAACCGGAGACAUGGACAACACUGAUUGAGGUGUUAGGAAUUUUCCUGCCAACCGAGAUCGUUGGAUCGGCAUGCCUGCAGAUUUCCUCUAUGACUGCCUCAUGAGAGACGACGACCACCCGCUCACC
rnacentral:lncRNA from 1 species